CCUCCGCCGCGCCGCCGCUGGCGACCUCGGGGGACGUGCCGCCGGCUGCCCGGGGACAGCUCCGCUCCCGCGCCGGCCCCCAACCCCCACCCGCGGCUGGCGGGCGGCGGGGACUGUCUCUCUAGGGGCUUGUCAACCACAGUGACAGCGUCGCCGCCGGCGCCGCCCACGCGUGCUGCUAGGGCUGAUGCCCACCAACCAGCCAGCACCUCUCCCCUAACAGGGCCGAAUGUGUCCAGAGGUCCAUCCGCGGGGCAAGCCGCUGGCCCCGUGGAGCCAAGCGGCACAUAAAUUCAGAUUUGGAGAGCUUAUGUUCCAUCAUAAAUUGGGCUGGCAGACUUCCGAUCAACAAGAUAAAGCUGUCUCCUGUGAGCCCAGCUUCUGGCCCAGCCUGCCAGCACCACCACUCAGUGAAGCCACCCAAAUCAGCACAGUAGGAGCUCCACCUGGCCCUUUCAAGCCACCAGCACUGUGUUCCUACCCAUUCUGAGUUUGCUGUGAUUGGAGCACCUCUGAGUACAUGGGCCUGCCCAGGGCCAUGGCAGCACGGCAGGAAACCUGGGCGACUGGAUGUAUGUUGGUGUUCUGGGGGCACAGUGGGGCCCUACCAGGAGAGGAGGUGAUCCUGGGAGGCUUCUUGGAGGAGGGGGUGCUGCUGUGAGUCUUGAAGGUUGCUUCUUCAUGCAGGAGUGGAUGCAAGCCUUGCCAAGACCUCAGAACAGUGGACCACACCUGGCCUUGGGCUCUGACCUCCCCCCCACUCUGCAACACCUGCCAAGGGUGCUCACUCUGACUCCUGCGGGAGGGUCUCCCAGCCUCCGGAGUUUUUUCUCUCGCUCUGGUGAGGAGGAGCUUCUGGGACAGUAGGGUGGGCAGGUGCUGGGAGAAGUGAACAGGGGUGGAGCUGUCCCAGGCCAGGAGGCCAAGCUGCACUGGGAGUGGGUCACAUAGACACCGCCCUGGAGAACAGUCCUCACACACUGACACAUGAGUGUGUCUGAGGAGCUGUUGCCAGGAGCUCACAUACCGCAGGAAGUCCAUCAUAUAUAUGGUUACUGCUGGGCCAGUCUGGACUCCCUGCACAGCCUGGGAGCCUCACAGAGCUGGGCCUGGAGGCAGUGACUUCUGCUACCACCCCCGAACCAGCGCCUCAGCUCCAGCUUCUCUCAGUCUUCAGGGUCCCUGCAUGGAUGCCCUCUCUGCUUCAGCUUGCACCCAGCAGCCUGGCAGAGAGCCUACCUGGUCCCCUCUUCCAUAAGCCCCCUCUUACUGCCCCCAGAGUCCUUAACUGAUGCCUUGAGGAUGGCACAGUAAGUGUCUCCAAGGGUCCUGGAGGAUUCCAAUCCCUUCGCUUGGCCCCACGUUUGAGGUGAGACCUUCAGUUCCUGCACUCUGAGACCAUUUAUGGAGAAAACACGUAGGGUAUGCCAGGGCUCAUCACGGUAUUGACCAGGGCCUCUGCAGCCACAUUUCACCCUGACUGUCUGCUCUAAGCCAAAGGGGACCCCACAGAUGUUGAGCCCUUCUCUCAUUUUUAGAUGGGAAAACCAAGGUCACGAUAAGGGCAGAGGGAACUAUGUCACACAGUGGCUGGCCAGGAGGACCCAAGUCUCAGGACAUGGCAGGGUCUGCUCUCUCCACUGCCUGCUUCAGCCUCUGCAGCCCAGCUCAGGUCCAGGCCAGGCUAUGGCACUGAGCAGGGUGCCCCAGUGAUGCCAGUAAGUGAGUGUUUUCACUCCUGGGGAGGGACCAGGCAUGCAGAGCCAGUGGCAGCUAAGACACCCACCCAUGUAAGCAGGCAACAGCUCCCUCUGUGC